rfam:Danio rerio chromosome 11, GRCz11 reference primary assembly.
AAAAAAGUUGCUUGUAAGUCGCUUUGGAUAAAAGUGUCUGCUGAAUGACUAAAU